AGUGAACGCUGGCGGCGUGCCUAAUACAUGCAAGUCGAACGCGAAAGUCCUUCGGGAUGAGUAAAGUGGCGCACGGGUGAGUAAUACAUGGGAACAUGCCCUUGGAUGGGGAAUAACGUUUGGAAACGAACGCUAAUACCGCAUAAUCUCGCGAGAGUAAAGGUGGCGCCGCAAGGGCUACCGUCCAAGGAUUGGCCCAUGUCCCAUUAGCUAGUUGGCGGGGUAAUGGCCCACCAAGGCAACGAUGGGUAUGUGGUCUGAGAGGAUGAUCACACACUGGAACUGAGACACGGUCCAGACUCCUACGGGAGGCAGCAGUAGGGAAUAUUGCACAAUGGGGGAAACCCUGAUGCAGCAACGCCGCGUGAGUGAAGAAGGCCCUUGGGUUGUAAAGCUCUUUAGCGUGGGAAGAAGGUAGAUACGGUGAAUAAUCGUGUUUGCUGACGGUACCACGAGAAUAAGCACCGGCUAAUUUCGUGCCAGCCGCCGCGGUAA
rnacentral:rRNA from 1 species